UUCAUAUUUGGGUCCGUUGGUAAGGGAGCACGUGCCUGUUACAGUUGAAAAUUGGAAAAAAAUUACUGAAGAAGUGAAGACAGUGCUUUGGAAAUCAGUCCAGGUUUGAACUUGAUGAGGACCACCAAAGGGUUGCAGUUCUUAAGCAAAUGGGAGCCUUGUGGAGAUCAUCCAAGUCACGUCUUGUUACCCAAAUCAAUGAAGCUGAAAAUAACCAACAAAGGAUGAAUCUCAGACCUAAGAAUGUUCAUCCAAUUGAGUGGCGCAAAUUUGUGAAGCUAAAAACAAGCCAAGAAUUCAAGGUUCUGAGUGAUAGCUACAAAGAGAGGAGAAGCAAACAG